AAGCUAUUAGGACAGACUUCUAUCUGCUU
rnacentral:piRNA from 1 species